rfam:Picea glauca, whole genome shotgun sequence.
ACAUGCCUACAACAUAGCGUUAAUGCAUCUGAUCUCAUUAGAACUCUAUAGUUAAGUGCGCUUAGGCUAGAGUAGUACUGGGAUGGGUGACCGUCCAGGAAGUCCUAGUGUUUUACAUGCC